UACGUAGGGUGCGAGCGUUAAUCGGAAUUACUGGGCGUAAAGCGUGCGCAGGCGGUUUGUUAAGUCUGCUGUGGAAUCCCCGAGCUCAACUUGGGAAUUGCAGUGGAUACUGGCAAGCUGGAGUACGGUAGAGGAAGGUGGAAUUCCCGGUGUAGCAGUGAAAUGCGUAGAGAUCGGGAGGAACACCAGUGGCGAAGGCGGCCUUCUGGACCAGUACUGACGCUCAUGCACGAAAGCGUGGGGAGCAAACAGG
rnacentral:rRNA from 1 species